rnacentral:rRNA from 1 species
CACAUGCAGUCGAGCGGAACGAGUUAUCUGAACCUUCGGGGAACGAUAACGGCGUCGAGCGGCGGACGGGUGAGUAAUGCCUAGGAAAUUGCCCUGGUGUGGGGGAUAACCAUUGGAAACGAUGGCUAAUACCGCAUAAUACCUUCGGGUCAAAGAGGGGGACCUUCGGGCCUCUCGCGUCAGGAUAUGCCUAGGUGGGAUUAGCUAGUUGGUGAGGUAAUGGCUCACCAAGGCGACGAUCCCUAGCUGGUCUGAGAGGAUGAUCAGCCACACUGGAACUGAGACACGGUCCAGACUCCUACGGGAGGCAGCAGUGGGGAAUAUUGCACAAUGGGCGCAAGCCUGAUGCAGCCAUGCCGCGUGUGUGAAGAAGGCCUUCGGGUUGUAAAGCACUUUCAGUCGUGAGGAAGGUAGUGUAGUUAAUAGCUGCAUUAUUUGACGUUAGCGACAGAAGAAGCACCGGCUAACUCCGUGCCAGCAGCCGCGGUAAUACGGAGGGUGCGAGCGUUAAUCGGAAUUACUGGGCGUAAAGCGCAUGCAGGUGGUUUGUUAAGUCAGAUGUGAAAGCCCGGGGCUCAACCUCGGAAUAGCAUUUGAAACUGGCAGACUAGAGUACUGUAGAGGGGGGUAGAAUUUCAGGUGUAGCGGUGAAAUGCGUAGAGAUCUGAAGGAAUACCGGUGGCGAAGGCGGCCCCCUGGACAGAUACUGACACUCAGAUGCGAAAGCGUGGGGAGCAAACAGGAUUAGAUACCCUGGUAGUCCACGCCGUAAACGAUGUCUACUUGGAGGUUGUGGCCUUGAGCCGUGGCUUUCGGAGCUAACGCGUUAAGUAGACCGCCUGGGGAGUACGGUCGCAAGAUUAAAACUCAAAUGAAUUGACGGGGGCCCGCACAAGCGGUGGAGCAUGUGGUUUAAUUCGAUGCAACGCGAAGAACCUUACCUACUCUUGACA